rnacentral:rRNA from 1 species
CCUACGGGUGGCUGCAGUGGGGAAUAUUGGACAAUGGGGGGAACCCUGAUCCAGCCAUGCCGCGUGUGUGAAGAAGGCCCUCGGGUUGUAAAGCACUUUCAGUGAGGAAGAACGCCUGGUGGUUAAUACCCAUCAGGAAAGACAUCACUCACAGAAGAAGCACCGGCUAACUCCGUGCCAGCAGCCGCGGUAAAACGGAGGGUGCGAGCGUUAAUCGGAAUUACUGGGCGUAAAGCGCGCGUAGGUGGCUUGAUAAGCCGGUUGUGAAAGCCCCGGGCUCAACCUGGGAACGGCAUCCGGAACUGUCAAGCUAGAGUGCAGGAGAGGAAGGUAGAAUUCCCGGUGUAGCGGUGAAAUGCGUAGAGAUCGGGAGGAAUACCAGUGGCGAAGGCGGCCUUCUGGACUGACACUGACACUGAGGUGCGAAAGCGUGGGUAGCAAACAGGAUUAGAUACCCGAGUAGUC